rnacentral:lncRNA from 1 species
AUGGUCAUCAGUUCUAAUAAGAAGAGAGAAGAGACAUUGUAUAAGACCUGUCGGAGUUGCAUAGUUGUUGUUUUGUUCAAGGAUUUACGCAGAGUAGCAGCGUCUGUUACCUAUAGGCCAUUAUUGGGGUUCAAUAUUUGAUAGGCCAUUGUUGGUGUAAAUUGAUGAACUGACUCUACAUGGCAAGACAAGCAAAAGAAAAUUGAAUCCGGAUGAUGAUACCAUUAUUUCUCGGGUACAAAUUGCGGAUAGAGAAGGGAGCCAUACACUCUCUUCUGCAAUUUGCACAAAUGAGUGAUAAAGCAUUAUUAGACUAUGGGGUGUGGAGGGCUUGGUUGGGGGUGUUGCUCGACACGUGGCGAUGGUGGGAUCCACAAGGUAAUAAUCAAUGUCGUGUAGGAGUUUAAUGAAAUAAUAUGUUACAUUUUA